rnacentral:rRNA from 1 species
CACGGCCGAUCGCCUUGAGUUGAUCAUGGCUCAGAAUAACGCUGGCGGCGUGCCUAACACAUGCAAGUCGAACGCGAAAGCCCCGCAAGGGGUGAGUAGAGUGGCAAACGGGUGAGUAACACGUGGGUGACCUGCCUUCGAGUGGGGGAUAACGUCCCGAAAGGGACGCUAAUACCGCAUGACAUCCUGCCUUUGGAAAGGCGGAGAUCAAAGCUGGGGAUCGUAAGACCUGGCGCUUGAAGAGGGGCCCGCGCCUGAUUAGCUAGUUGGUGAGGUAACGGCUCACCAAGGCGACGAUCAGUAUCCGGCCUGAGAGGGCGGACGGACACACUGGGACUGAGACACGGCCCAGACUCCUACGGGAGGCAGCAGUGGGGAAUUGUUCGCAAUGGGCGCAAGCCUGACGACGCAACGCCGCGUGGAGGACGAAGAUCUUCGGGUCGUAAACUCCUGUCGAGUGGGAAGAAUGGAUCGGGGCUGAAUACGUCCCGGUAUUGACGGUACCACUAAAGGAAGCCCCGGCUAACUCCGUGCCAGCAGCCGCGGUAAUACGGGGGGGGCAAGCGUUGUUCGGAAUUACUGGGCGUAAAGGGCUCGUAGGCGGCCAACUAAGUCAGACGUGAAAUCCCCAGGCUCAACUUGGGAACUGCGUCUGAUACUGGAUGGCUUGAAUUCGGGAGAGGGAUGCAGAAUUCCAGGUGUAGCGGUGAAAUGCGUAGAUAUCUGGAGGAAUACCGGUGGCGAAGGCGGCAUCCUGGACCGGCAU